rnacentral:rRNA from 1 species
UACGAAUGGAGCGAGCGUUGUUCGGAAUCACUGGGCGUAAAGCGCGUGUAGGCGGCUUUGCAAGUCGGGUGUGAAAUCCCGAGGCUCAACCUCGGAACUGCAUUCGAAACUGCUCGGCUCGAGUCCCGGAGAGGAUGGCGGAAUUCCCGGUGUAGGGGUGAAAUCCGUAGAUAUCGGGAGGAACACCAGUGGCGAAGGCGGCCAUCUGGACGGUGACUGACGCUGAGACGCGAAAGCGUGGGGAGCAAACAGG